rnacentral:rRNA from 1 species
UGCAAGUCGAGCGGACAGAAGGGAGCUUGCUCCCGGAUGUUAGCGGCGGACGGGUGAGUAACACGUGGGUAACCUGCCUGUAAGACUGGGAUAACUCCGGGAAACCGGAGCUAAUACCGGAUAGUUCCUUGAACCGCAUGGUUCAAGGAUGAAAGACGGUUUCGGCUGUCACUUACAGAUGGACCCGCGGCGCAUUAGCUAGUUGGUGGGGUAAUGGCUCACCAAGGCGACGAUGCGUAGCCGACCUGAGAGGGUGAUCGGCCACACUGGGACUGAGACACGGCCCAGACUCCUACGGGAGGCAGCAGUAGGGAAUCUUCCGCAAUGGACGAAAGUCUGACGGAGCAACGCCGCGUGAGUGAUGAAGGUUUUCGGAUCGUAAAGCUCUGUUGUUAGGGAAGAACAAGUGCGAGAGUAACUGCUCGCACCUUGACGGUACCUAACCAGAAAGCCACGGCUAACUACGUGCCAGCAGCCGCGGUAAUACGUAGGUGGCAAGCGUUGUCCGGAAUUAUUGGGCGUAAAGGGCUCGCAGGCGGUUUCUUAAGUCUGAUGUGAAAGCCCCCGGCUCAACCGGGGAGGGUCAUUGGAAACUGGGAAACUUGAGUGCAGAAGAGGAGAGUGGAAUUCCACGUGUAGCGGUGAAAUGCGUAGAGAUGUGGAGGAACACCAGUGGCG